rnacentral:misc_RNA from 1 species
AACGCACAUUGCGCCCCCUGGCAUUCCGGAGGGCACACCUGUUCGAGCGCCGUAGUAUUCCUAAGGCUUCAGCCUUGUGUUGGUUCUUGUGUCCCAGCCUUGCGGCGGUGGACUGGACCGAAACUUGUGUGGCGCCGCCACGCGGCCUGCUAUGCGCAGAAGCAGCAGCAAGCCGCGGUUGGCAGCAGCCUGUUUAAACAGCACUCUUGGCCUCGGAUCAGGUGGGGAUACCCGCUGAACUUAA